UUUCAUCAAGUGCCUCCACAGCUGAUGAUACAGCAGGUUUAUCCACUGCAAAGUUACCAGCACCUGAAAGCGUGGAGCAGUUAGCGGCACCUGAAAGCGUGGAGCAGUUACCGGCAGUUACAUUCACCGAUAUGUCGGUUUCAACCUCAGCCAGCAUGACAGGUCCUUCUACAUCUGCACCUACUGCUAUAGAUUUCCCAUGCACCCCCUCAACAAGCUCCAGCUAUCAAGAUAGAUCAACAGCUCCUCCAAUUGACCCAGUUGAAUGGUCAGCAUCUCUGUCCGACUCAGAAAGGACUGAUCUGGUAAGAAAAGGGCCAGUGACACCUUCACCUUCCCCAAAAAAUUUGAUGGACGAAGCUUUCACUACCACUAUACGUACAGACAAUUAGUUAAUGGGAAAAAAAUCAAGUGAAGCUGGUUAAUUUAUUCAAAGAAAAAUGAUGCAGUUUACUGCUUCUGUUGCAAAUUAUUCUCGAGAAAGUCCGCAAAACUGUCAACAGAGGGACAGCGUGAUUGGGUAAAUGUAGGUGCUUUGCUGAAACAGCAUGAGAAUAGUCCAGAUCAUUGCAAUAAUAUGGUGAAGUGGAAAGACUUUGCCCUUCUUCUUUCUAAGCAGAAGACUAUUGAUGCAACAGAAAUGGCCCUUUUGGAGGCAGAAAAAAAUCGUUGGAGAGAUGUUCUCAUCCGUUUGAUUAGUACUAUUCAGUCUUUGGCAGAGAGGAAUCUUUCACUCAGGGGGUCUGUCGAUACUUUGCAUCAGGCCAACAAUGGGAACUUCCUUAAAGAGGUAGAACUGAUGGCAAAAUUUGACCCGGUGUUAAAAGACCACAUCAGACGAAUUGAUAGUGGAAUGCAGCACAACACGUACCUGGGUAAGACUAUCCAGAAUGAGCUGAUAGAGUGGGUCAGU